CAAAAUUUCUUCUUUUUUGGAUUUUUGAUUUAUAACAUAAUUUUCAAAUACAAAAUAGGAAAUAUAAUAACAAAAGACUCGGCAAACUUAACUAGAAUAUGACAGACUCUAACAUCACCUAAAAGACUCGACAUUACUAUAUAAAACUAGAAGGUAAAAGAUGACAUAAAAAGAAAAACAGACUCAAAGCAUAAAAAAUCUCCUUAAGCAACUCACGGGUGCAACGGUCCUGACCAGAUGGUCCUGGGGUGUCUGUUAUGCUCAAACUUCGGUAAAUAGAUCCACAUCUAUAUGAAAAAAUUAAGACCAAAUAAAGUUAAAGACCUAGAACGCUAUGUGAGACAAUAACCCAUCCUGUUGGACACAUGCAUAACAUGAUUCUAACUAUUUUUCUAAAAUUGCUAAAAGUUGCUAAAAAUGCAAGAUUUGGCUAAGACCCCGCAAAGCCAAGAACAUAAGACUCACUAGGAAGACCGGACCUUAUAUGGGUUGCCUACGUAUCACGCCCCGAAAGACGGGAAUCAAGUAUGCGUAGUUCGGGCAGAUUGGAUACGGGCGAGAAUUAAAAAAAAUAACUAAUUUAGAGGAAAAUAUAUUUUGUCUUUUUUGAAAAAUGAUGAAACGUGUAAACUCUUUUUGGAUUUCCUUUUCCUUUUUAUUUUUUUAUUUUUUAUUUAGAAAAAUGAUGGGAAAGUGCAAAAUGUAUGGGUUUUUCAUACUUUUUUUUUGUUUUUGGUCUUUUCUUGAAAAAGCGUGAAAGAAAAUUAUAAUUGGGCCCUACUUGUUUUUUUAUACCUCAACCUCUUUUCUUUCUCAUUUACCCUCAUUGGUCCGCCAAAUGACCCCUUUUAUCCUUGAAGAUUGCAAUAUGUAGCACAUAGAAUGCAUCAGAAUAGUCUUUUAUUUUUGGAUACACUUGUCCUAGACGGACCCAACCCUUGUGUUGAGUCCCCUAAGUCAAAUACACGUGAUGCAAACAAACGUUCCUACUAGGGAUCAGGCAUGAGGCUAUGUUAUUCUAAGUUUAAAAACUUGGGUUUAUUUGUUCUAGACCGGGCUUACUCGAGCGGACAGCUCGAGCCGAGGGGGACAGCAUACUGGGAAUACAAAAGCUUCACCAGCUUUGCAACUUGUCCGAACCUCAUUCUAAAAUUGAGAUAUGACUCUAACAGAAGAGAAGUCACAUGAAGUGCACACUUCCCAGAUGAUUUAGAAGACUCAGAGAGAGGAGGGUUUCGUAACAGUUUAUAUACAAUUCAAACAAUAUCAAAGCGGUAAAAAGCGAUAAUUAGCACAUUAGGCUCAAACACACAAAAAUUAGAUAAUAAAUAAAGCCAACUAUAACAGAUAUUUUAAGCUCGAAUUCUGAAUCCUAAACCAUAGGUUCUGGGUUCUUAUCCCCAGCAGAGUCGCUAGAGCUGUCACACCUCCUUUUUACUACCCCCGGAAGGGUAUAAGGGAGUUUUUUCCAAUUUAAGUGACAAUCGAAAUGGGAUUAUUUAUUUAAAAUUCAGAGUCGCCACUUGGGAUAGUUUAUGGUGUCCUAAGUCACGGUUCUAAAUCCUGAAUUGACGAAAGUUGACUCUUAUUUAUGGUCCGUGAACACAAAAAUUCGGGCAAGGAAUUCUAUUAACCCGGGAGAAGGUGUUAGGCAUUUUCGGGUUCCGUGAUUCUAGCACGGUCGCUUAACUAUUAAUAAUUGGCCUAAUUAUCUGAUUUAUUACAUAUUUUAAACAUAUUGUGCAUUUUUAACUUUAUAAUCGCUUUUAUUUAUUUAACCGUUUUUCAAUUUAUGGAAUUUAUUUGAACGUGUCACGAUAUCGUGCACUCGUUAUUUUUGUACAUAUUGUGAAUCACGUCACAUGAAAUGCGCCCGCGAUUUACAACAUAUUUAUUUUAUUAUUAUUAGAAGUUGUGGUCGAGUCACAUGAAAUACGCACUCGAAUUUGGAUUCGUUUGUUUUGAACAUAUUGCAAAUCGCGUCACAUGAAAUACACUCGCGGUUUACAACAUGAUCAUUAUUAUCAAUAUUCAAAGUUAUGGCCAGGUCACAUGAAAUGUACGCCCAAAUUUGAAUUUAUGUAUCAUGACUAUGCCACGAAAACCGUACUCAUAGUCAUAAUGAUUUGUUUAAUCACACCUAAAGCAAGCUACGAAUGUUCAUAAUUAUUUAUCUUCCUAAGUUUAAGAUUUGUUGUGAAGUGUGAUCUCAUGGAUUAUUUCUGAAAAUAUGUAGAUUGAAUUUCCUAUUUACCAAAGUUGGAUUAGGUCGCCACCUAAUGAGAUGUCGACAUUGAAUCAGAAUAUGAAAUGAGAUUUGAGAAUACUAAUUCAAGAUGAAACAAAGAAGUUAAAACAUGAAAUUAUCUACAAGAAAAAGUAGACAAAUGCACUAUAGAAAAAAAAUGAAUUAGUAGCACCAUCUCAAAACAAUAGGUAUUUAAAAUGGGCUUCUCAUAACUUUACGUAAUCUUUUAUUAUUAUCAAACCAAAUAUGGCAAACCUAUUUCAACUUAAGGCAACCAAAUUCCAAUUACAAAUCUACUUGCCUCAUUUUUCUGUUCAACCAAGAAUCAAGACAAAACCUCUUUAACAACAAUUAAAUUUUAAAAGAUCAACCAGAAAAGAAACCUCUCCAUUUCUAUCCACUAAAAAAAGUAAAAAUCCAUCAAGAGAUUUUGCUUGGACAAUGAAGAAAUUGGAAUUUGCAAGCAGCGACUGUGGCAAGAGACACAAGGUAACAACCAAUAUGUAAUUAUUUAUGACAAAGGCAGAUGCAGUUCAUAUUCAAAGAACAAUUAAUUAAGCCUCUUCAUCACACAAAAAAUGCUGAAAUAAUUUUAUUAAACAUGGGAUACGACGACUACAAUUAAUUCAAAUUUGAAAUUCAAGUGAAAUCACAAUAGAACUAAAUCAGUGGUGACAACGGUAUAAUUUAGCCGUGAAGGACAUAUAACCUUAUUUCAGCAACAAUCAUUUUAGAAUAUACACGAUUCACUAAAUCUACAGGCAAUUACAAAAUUAGAAGUUAAGGAAUACCUCGAAAGGGAUAAAUCAAAGGAGAAAAGUGAUGAAGAAACUGUAUUGAGUUCAGCACAAUGAACAACGGUUUUACAGUUCGAAUAACCAUUGAAAUUCCAGAGAAUAUCCACCCAAUGUGCUGGGGUUUUAUAAUAGCUUUUGUAAUACCUUUUCCUUAUGAUGUUUUUCUUCUACUUUCAAGUUUUUCCGAUUCCAGAUCUUAAAACUUUUGAAGGAGUCCGUUUCUCUUCUUUUUUUUGUUGUGUGUGUAUGUGUUAUCAGUGAGUGAGAUGAGAAAGAAGAAGGGGAUGGCUGGGUUUUUUUAGAUGUCCACAGUUGAAGCUCUCCAAUUAGGGUCCCUCCUAGGUCUAGGUCUCUAUUUAUGGGAAGGGGUCUAGGGUUAAGGAUGGGGUAAUGAGCUAAGGUUAUUUGGGCUAAAGGUAAU
rnacentral:lncRNA from 1 species